rnacentral:rRNA from 1 species
AUUGAACGCUGGCGGAAUGCUUUACACAUGCAAGUCGAGCGGCAGCGCGGGGGCAACCCUGGCGGCGAGCGGCGAACGGGUGAGUAACAUAUCGGAACGUACCCCGUCGUGGGGGAUAACACAGCGAAAGCUGUGCUAAUACCGCAUACGACCUGAGGGUGAAAGCGGGGGAUCGCAAGACCUCGCGCGAUGGGAGCGGCCGAUAUCGGAUUAGCUUGUUGGUGAGGUAAAGGCUCACCAAGGCGACGAUCCGUAGCUGGUCUGAGAGGACGACCAGCCACACUGGAACUGAGACACGGUCCAGACUCCUACGGGAGGCAGCAGUGGGGAAUUUUGGACAAUGGGGGCAACCCUGAUCCAGCCAUGCCGCGUGAGUGAAG